CCAACUAAGAAUAAUGUUAAAUUAGUAAAUGAAAGGUGAAAACCAAAAUAUAAUGCUUACCUUCCACAAAGGACAAGUCAUUGACGUAGAUGAACAAGAUUGCCAGCGUGCACUAUAUUGAUCCAUUUUACUAUGCAGUUAUUACAAAAUUUAUCUGAAACAUUUUAGCUUAAACAUCAAUGGAUAAUUGAACCACAAUAUACCUUCUUCUUUCUGGAUAAAAUUCCAAAGCAGCAAAUUCACAAAUACAGCUUGAAAUAAAGGCUAGACAGCAUACAAAGUCUUCUCAUCACUAUUCAGUCGUAUCACAAGCUUGGAUUUCACACAUAUAGAUCUUCAAAAAAACCCAAUAAGAACACACUGCAACUACAUUUCAUGAUUGUUCUGACUAAUUACUAACACUAAAUUGAACUAAUUCCUACAGAAACUGAAAACAAAUAGAAAUACAGUCCAACCUAGACUUUUUGACUGCAUUCAAAAUACUGAAGUAUCUGAAACUCAUGUUCUCUAGCAAGCUAUCUAUAACGAAUGCAUAACGAAACCCCACCCCCGUGGGCUCAGGGCGUUACACUAUCCUUCCCUGAGCUCAUAGCUCGAAAACCCCCAAUUCAUCCCUCAGCAAAUAACCAGAACCCAAAUCCACCCCCAAUCCAGCCUAUAAACCACUAAACGAUAUAAGCUUUAAGCGCCUUAGUGCAUAGAGAAAAUAGCAUGAAGAUGCCAUCUGCAACACAUAUGUACACCAAAGAAAACAGUCUGUAAUCCAAUCAAUCUUUGAACAAAAUAAGAAAUUACCAUAAACGAGCUCUCUGUAUCACCUCGCAAAGGGUAAUCACAAUAGCACAAGGGAAGUUGUAUGAAGAAAGAGCAGCUUUAUUGAACAUCACCAAGAGCACCGCUUUUCUCUGCGUCGUCGUCAGUGGCUGCAGCAUUGUCGAAGGCGGAGUCGGCAGGUCCAGAUCCAGGUCCGGCGCUCAGAUUCUCUAUGUCCAUGUAGGUGAAGAAGAGAUCAUUCUGGCAUCCCAUUUCCUCGAAACUUCCCACCGGAGAUGACGGCGGUUGCACGGCGCUGCUGUCCAUCCGGUGGAAAGAGAAAGGUGGACCGGUGGCAUCGUUUCCGCAACUGCUCGCCGGGAGUUGGAGGAGAAAGAGAGGUGAUUAGGGUCUGGUGUGCCGGCAGCCAUGGCUGCUGCCGCUCCUUCAGUUCAGCGACGGACAUCCUCUUUCUCAGCGACAAAUCAAUUGGAAGCAGAAGAAGAUUUUAGCCCUCCAGCUUCAUUUGAACCCUAGCUUUGGCAUUUCCACACAAUUGAGAGUCGAAUCGUGUGAUCGGGCAAGAGGGAUUGAGGAAUUGAAAGGGGUUUGGGCGUGUACAGGCUGCGUGAGGAGAGGUCGGCGGAAAAGGGCGGCACGGAGAGGUCGAAGUCCUAGGGUUCUAGGUUUGGGGUUCUGUGGAAGACAAGAGGGAGAGAGAGCACAGAGCCGUUGAAAGCGGCGGCUCGCCGGAUUUCAUCAGAGGCCAUAGAGAGAGGCGAUGAGGGUGAAAUGGCAGCGAGAUCGCGAAGAGAGAGAGAGAGAUUUGGGGAGGAGAUGAGACGCAGCGAGGGUGGGCGGCAGCGGCGCGACGCAGCGCGACAAGGGUGGCCGGNAAAAUCUAUCAUACUAUGUAUUCUAGCACUAAGUCCUCAAGAACUAGUUGCUCUUUCCUGAAAUCAUUCUUCCUCAUGAAAGUAAUCUGCAAUAGAGAUUUAGUGAAAAAUGAAGAAUGACCGCUACCAUCUGUAAAAUAUUUGGGAUCACAUCCUGAGACACCAAAAACAGAUUCACACUAAGCAACAAUAAAUCCUUUGAACAAUCGAAUAAUCUCGUUGUGAAAAAAAGGGGAUAAACAAAGUAGAAGAAAUUAAAAGCAAUGCCCAAGCUAAAACAACCACAAAUCACCAGACUAAUUCAAACACCGCCAUCAUCUAACCUCUCCAAGCAAAACAAGAGACGAUUUGAAGUAGGUAUUGCAUUAAAUUGAGAUUUUAACUACAAUAGAAAAUGAGCUCCAUCUGCACAAUAGAAAAAUAAGAAGUGAUAAGCAAAAAUACCCCGCAUGUAGCGAGUUAGCAGUUAUUUUGACCCCUUCUUCCUGUAGUGGCAAGAAAAAAAUUGAAUGUUGCGAAGUUUCACUGCUAAUAAGUCUUACAAAUCGCAAAAAGAGCAUGCACCUGAAAGCGCCUCGCGAGUUCAUAAGCAUGCAGUAUGUUAGCAAGCUUGGACUGUCCAUAUGCGUGUGUGCUAUCGUAACUGUGGAGCAAUAUCAAGACAAACUACAACUAAAGAAGCAAAGUGCAAGAGUGAGUGAUUAUCCAUUCAAGGUGCAUUUAAGAGAGAGCAAAAUCUAGUCGUUAUCACAACACGCAUAAAUGUUAGGAUGGUUGCUCAAGUUUCCACUGAAAGUUGAAACACAUAAUUAGACAAGACAAGUACCUUAAGCACAAAAUCCAUACAUUCAAAUGAGCGAGCCUUGAUUGCACACACAAGAGGGGUCUCCACUCACCACAACUACAUAACAAUUACAUGGCUGCAAAAUAGAAAGCAGCAAAGGGAUUAAUCAAAAGAGCAGUAUAAGAAAUAUAAACUUCCAAUAAUACUGCCAGCAUAUUUUCAUAAGUUAAUUCAGCAAUCUCACAAGAUUAUAUCAGUAUAUAUGAUUGGUUAAAAUACCAAAUUUGACAUACUAAACUAAUCAAACACAUUUAACGAGAUUGAAGAUACAUAGUUAUAUAUAUGAUUCCAAAUAACCUCAUUACCCAUUGAGCUUUCACACCUUUUCUAUCAUUUUUAUUUUUCUUUAUUUUUUUUACAAGACAAUUUCAUCAACAAGGAUUAUUGUUUACGAAGAUAGUAUCAUGAUCGGUUUCAUAAAAGUGAGCAAAGUAUCAAGGGUGAUGAAAUUUGUUACAGAAAAUUCGACGUGAUUUUAAAAAAUAUUGCAUCAGCAAACAUAUAAAGGUAUAAAAUAUAUGUUUACAUCCUUGACCAACUAAGAAUAAUGUUAAAUUAGUAAAUGAAAGGUGAAAACCAAAAUAUAAUGCUUACCUUCCACAAAGGACAAGUCAUUGACGUAGAUGAACAAGAUUGCCAGCGUGCACUAUAUUGAUCCAUUUUACUAUGCAGUUAUUACAAAAUUUAUCUGAAACAUUUUAGCUUAAACAUCAAUGGAUAAUUGAACCACAAUA
rnacentral:lncRNA from 1 species